CCCACAUAGUUAGAGACUUGACUCGUGCACAUGGAACUUAGUACACACACACAUCUGUGUGUGUGUGUGUAAGAUAUCCAAAGAAGCUGUCGCAUAUGUAACAUCGUGAUCAUACAUCUGUUGUCCGCCAUCUUGUCUCUCUGUAAACGCCUAUUGACAUGUAUACAGCUAUGAACGUUAUAUUUACCGCUCCACCAAGCUGAACGCGUAUAAUGCGCGCAUGCACGCGUGAGGUUUGCAGCAUAUUAACAAACAAAAACAACAAUAUCUGAACAAACAGCAACUACAACAACAACAAUAUCUGAACAAACAACAACAACAAUAGCUAUAACAAGAGAAAUAUGAAAAGAAUAGAAGAAUUUUAUCCGAAAUUAAAUCUUUCGCCAAAAGUUCCUGCGGAAACCAAAGGAUUGGUAUGGUGUUUUUCUUCUUAAACAAAGUGGACAGCUGCAGUGACCGGGAAAGAUAAAGACGAUAUAAACUGAAGACAACAAACAAAUAAAUGA